rnacentral:misc_RNA from 1 species
UCAGCUUGUGAUAACCUAAGAACAUAGUACAUCUAAAUAUAUUGCAGCCUAGAAAUAAAAAUGAAAAACCACACAACAUAGUCGAAACCUUCAUAUCUCAACGAUAUCUCAAAAUACUCAAACAGUAAAAUUGCAACAUAGAAAAUCCCCAAACGACUUGUAACUAUACUAUGACAUACAUCACUCGAGUACUUUACUCCAGUAUACUUUACUGCAUUAAGCAAUAAUAACGUAAUGGUAUUUGAAGCUAAAUCCGCAACCGCCUCCACUCGUUAAAUCGUUUUUCCAUCGCAAAUACGGUUUACACGUUUUUAUAUCUAUGCACACACACGUUCGCUCUCAGAAAAUCGCUACGGGAAGAAGGCUGGAGAUGUGGAAGGCAGUAAUUGAAACAAAAAAACAGGUGGGGGAUUCGAGUAACAUUCGGAGCGUCGGCCAGUGUUGGUCAGGUAUCGCUUCAUAGGUAGAACGACUAAUUGCGUUGCACCUGCAACGAGUGUCACGAGUCCGCGAAUUUUACGCGAUAUUUUUAGGAGGUCCUUAGAAUUCUGUAUAUAUUGUUCGGUAUACACGUGACCGAUUUGUUUUCGCGGCUGAGAUAGACUGCACGCGAUACAGCGUCGUUUUGCUGAAGAGACCGGAAGCUGGCCACAUGAGCCGAGGAUCCAUUUCCAGUUGGCAAGAUUAUGGACGCAGAAAUUCUCAAGGCAUUCCACAAUUCAGUGGGGGUCCGGUGGAGUUCAUGACCUGCGACGGCAUGGAGUACAAAAGAGGGGACGGUUGGUUUCUUUCCUACACAAAGAUUGCAGGGAUCGUGGUGGUUUUCGUUAUCGGGGUGGUUGCUGCCGGCUUCCUCGGAUGGUACAUCAAUUCCUUGCCAAAGAAAAAAGCUUACGACACGUUAGAUUUGCUGAACGACGAGAUCGAGAAUGAAAAUGUCGGAGAAACCACCAUUUCUCCUUUGGUUCAUCCCUUGAAAUAUCGUCUCGAGCUAAUGCCGAUGGUCGACACCAGUGGUCCGUCGACACUGAAGGGACGGGUGAUUAUAGAGUUUGAAGUUAAAGAGACGAGUCUGAAGAAGCUGUCUUUGAACGCUAAGAAUAUUACGGUGGAUUAUUAUAAACUAUCGUCGAUGGAUCCGGGGAAAGAAAGGCAAAAGAGGGCAGUGGACAACGAUUAUGAUAUCGAACGAAGUGAUGGAGUUGUGAUCAGUGCCAUGUACGCCGUGGAGAAUGAGUUCGUAGUAGCCGUAUCAGACAACGGAACAGUGGUCUUCGAAAAUAAUGUUCAGUACCCAUCAGGAGAUUUUCAAUUCACCGACAAAAAUGUAGCAACACCUGAUAAUAGUACAGAAAUUAAAAUAACAGAGUACGAGAUAGACGACGAUAAAGACAUUCACACAGUUUCAUUGGAAACUGCAUUGCAACCGGGAGUUUAUUUCCUGGACAUUGAUUACCAAGCUCCAAUAACGGAGAAUGCGUUUUUUAUUUCGAAUUACUCUCUUGAGGAUGAGAAGUGGUUGAUGGGGACGAGAUUAAAACGAUCUGGAGCUCGAUACCUGUUUCCACUCUUCGACACCACGUUGCACAAGUCAAUUUUCUCUGUGUCCAUAAUACAUUCCAAGGAAACGAAAGCAUUGUCUAAUAUGCCUCUUAGGACCUUGAGAGACAUAUCAAACUCAUCCGUGAUGGACACAUUCGACGAGUCACCUCCACUUUCACCCCAUAACCUGGCAUUUCUGCUGGGUCACGUGGACUCCAUAGGCAUGGUAUUCGACGGGCAUUCCGAAGAGGUGGCCACGUUUUGGCUCGAAUCGAACAGAGACUCGCCAAGGAUCUACGUUUUCGAUAAAUUUAAUUCAACUAUUUCUAAUUUGAUCGACGUGUUCGACAUGCCGUAUCCUUUGCCCAAGAUUGAUGUGGUAGCACUGCCUCCAGGGAUCGACGAGAACAUGGCGAGUCCUGGAUUAAUGGUUAUGAAGCAGUCACUGUUCUACGCAACCGAGAGUUCGCCAAUAGUCACCAAAACCGAUGCUCUGAGGGUUCUAAUCUCCUCGCUGCAACAGCAAUGGACAGACGAGUUCUCGAACGUGAAUCGAUCCGAUGCAUGGAUCUUCGAGGGGUCGAUGAUCUAUUUCCAACACGAUAUUGUUCAAAAGAUAGAUUCGUCAUUGAUCGAUUACUUCAUCGGCGAUGUUCUAAUGCACGCCAUGGAUGUCGAUGGUUACAGCAUCUCGAGACCUCUUCACGAAUAUGUGAAUUAUCGAUCGUUGCACUUGGUCGAUGAUGAGAUCGUGAAAGGUGCAUGUCUGAUACGCAUGUUGCAUGGCGCGGUAAACGAUACGGCGUUUAGGAAUGGCUACAAGAGAGUGAUAAACAGGUGGAAAUAUAAUACUACAGACGUAGCCGAUUUCCUGAGCAUCAUGGAAGAAGAAGCAACCGAACUUCCGACUGGAAUUUCUUUGGAAGAAGCAAUGAAUUCCUGGAUCUUCCAAGGAGGAUAUCCCCUCAUCACUGUUAUGAGAAACUACGAAACAGAAUCUGCUAUUAUUUAUCAGGAACAAUUUACAUUGGACCGACCACUAGAAAGUAUUUCUAAAUUUUGGCAUAUUCCUUUGGACUACAUCGAAGAAAAUGGUAACUGGUCCUCGCCUCAGAAAGUAUGGUUCCAGUCGGAACCUAAGAUCCAGUUAGAUAAUGUUGGCUCGAACCAGUCUUGGAUUCUUUUUAAUAUAAAUAAAACAGGCUAUUACCGAGUUCACUACGACGAAAGAAACUGGAAGUUGUUAAAACUGGCGCUGCAAAAAGAUCAUGAACUCUUACCACCAGAAACGAGAGCCUCUCUCAUAGAUGACAUGUUCAGCCUAGCCGCAGUAGGUCUGAUCAAAUAUGAGACUGUGUUUGAUUUCAUCGAAUAUAUGCGUACUAAGGAGAGGCACUAUCUACCUUGGACUAUACUGAUGCGAUAUACCUUCAAAUUGUACAGGCUCUUGUACGAGACUUCCGCUUUCAGCGACUUUCAGGUUUUCAUGGUGAAAUUUGUGUCUCCAUUGUAUAGUGAAGUGGUAUCAAGGCUGGACGAAGGUUCGCAGUUGACAGUAAUCGCUGUCAAAAUGGCGUGCGUGUUCGAGCACACAGAGUGCCUAAGCUGGGCCAACAAUGCGUUCGAGAGUGCGAAGAAUGAUAGUGAACUUCAAGAAAUCAUCCCUCCAUACCUUCGCGAAGCCUUCUACUGCACCGUCGCCCGUUACGGAACCCGAAAGGAGUGGAAUUACUUCAAGGAAAUGGUAACAGCAACAGAAGAUGAAGAGGAGAAAAAGCGUUUAUUAUCUGCCUUCUCUUGUUUCCAAGCUCCCUGGAUCUUGCAGUCCAUCUUAAAUGAGAUACUACACGAGGAACUAUUCAGCCCAGACGAAAUAUCAGUCAUCUUAAGGUGGUUUCCUCGCAAUCCAGCAGCGGCUCAAGCUGCCUCCCGAUUCGUUCGAGCUAAUUGGCAAGAAAUUACGCAGAGGUGUUUUAAAAUUGAAUGCAGAAGUUUCCUGGAGCUUAUUCCGUGCUGAAAUCUUUUGUGCUGUCGAUGAUUAACGGUAUCACUACCGAACAAGAUUUGGAAGACCUUCAACUGUUCAGAGAAAAUAAUUACGACAGCAUGAAGGGAGUUAGGUACGCGGCAGCACUCGUCGAAGCGAACGGAAAUUUCGAGACGUU